rnacentral:rRNA from 1 species
GAUGAACGCUGGCGGCGUGCCUAAUACAUGCAAGUAGAACGCUGAAGGAAGGAGCUUGCUCUUUCCGGAUGAGUUGCGAACGGGUGAGUAACGCGUAGGUAACCUGCCUGGUAGCGGGGGAUAACUAUUGGAAACGAUAGCUAAUACCGCAUAACAGUAGAUGUUGCAUGAUAUCUACUUAAAAGGUGCAAUUGCACCACUACCAGAUGGACCUGCGUUGUAUUAGCUAGUUGGUGAGGUAACGGCUCACCAAGGCGACGAUACAUAGCCGACCUGAGAGGGUGAUCGGCCACACUGGGACUGAGACACGGCCCAGACGCCUACGGGAGGCAGCAGUAGGGAAUCUUCGGCAAUGGACGGAAGUCUGACCGAGCAACGCCGCGUGAGUGAAGAAGGGUUUCGGAUCGUAAAGCUCUGUUGUAAGAGAAGAACGAGUGUGAGAGUGGAAAGUUCACACUGUGACGGUAUCUUACCAGAAAGGGACGGCUAACUACGUG